rnacentral:misc_RNA from 1 species
UCGUAACAAGGUUUCCGUAGGUGAACCUGCGGAAGGAUCAUUACAGAGCGUGAGGCUCAGUCGUGGCAUCGCUGCGUCCUCGCCCCCCCCUGCGGGYRGGGACCUCGCGUCUCCUGCCCGCAAACCGAACCCCGGCGCGGAACGCGCCAAGGAAAUCUAACCAAGAGAGCCAUCCCGGAGGCCCCGGACACGGUGCGCCCCCGGCGUCGGCGUCUUAUGAAUUAUUC